rnacentral:piRNA from 1 species
UGCAACAGCAGCUCUACCUGUCAGAGUCCA